rnacentral:rRNA from 1 species
GACAGAGGAUGCAAGCGUUAUCCGGAAUGAUUGGGCGUAAAGCGUCUGUAGGUGGCUUUUCAAGUCCGCUGUCAAAUCCCAGGGCUCAACCCUGGACAGGCGGUGGAAACUACCAAGCUGGAGUAUGGUAGGGGCAGAGGGAAUUUCCGGUGGAGCGGUGAAAUGCAUUGAGAUCGGAAAGAACACCAACGGCGAAAGCACUCUGCUGGGCCAACACUGACACUGAGAGACGAAAGCUAGGGGAGCAAAUGGG